rnacentral:rRNA from 1 species
AGCAGCCGCGGUAAUUCCAGCUCCAAUAGCGUAUAUUAAAGUUGUUGCAGUUAAAAAGCUCGUAGUUGAAUUUCGGGAUCAAGUCGUCGGUCGUGCUCAGGUACGUACUGGCGUCAUUGAUUUCUCCCUUCUGACGAACCAUGAUGUCAUUAAUUUGGUGUUAUGGGAAAUCAGGACUGUUACUUUGAAAAAUUAGAGUGUUUAAAGCAGGCUCACGCUUGAAUACAUUAGCAUGGAAUAAUGAAAUAGGACGUUCGAUCCUAUUUUGUUGGUUUUAGGAUCAACGUAAUGAUUAAUAGGGAUAGUUGGGGGCAUUAGUAUUCAAUUGUCAGAGGUGAAAUUCUUGGAUUUAUUGAAGACUAACUACUGCGAAAGCAUUUGCCAAGGAUGUUUUCAUUAAUCAAGAACGAAAGUUAGGGGAUCGAAGACGAUCAGAUACCGUCGUAGUCUUAACCAUAAACUAUGCCGACUAGGGAUCGGAUGAUGUAAUUUUUAAUGUA